UGACGAUUGAGACAAAAGACAACGAUAUGAAUGAUCAACACUGUUCCUGUAAAGCUGGUUUCCAGCCAUCAGUGGAAGCACUGAGCAGCCCUCCAAUGAGCGGGGGAAGAUGCGUUCGAGAUGACUACGGCUGACUUUCGCUGACUUGAUAGUAGUAGACGUGCCUUUACCUCCAUCACAACCAGUGCAGUGAAUCCUGUAAGACUGGUGAAAGUCAUCAAUACUCCCUGAGAGAAGAUGGAGAGGGAUGACAGAAUGGCUGGAUGCAAUCAAUAUGCUUUUGGCAGUGAGCCUCUUCUAAAAAGCAACAACUUUGACAGGACAGCUUUGAACCAGAACCAAGAGUUGGCUGAACUCAAGGGGACAGAGCUUUUGUUUUCAGGGCCCUGAAACUCUGGAGCGACCUGCCAGAGGAAAUUAGGCUGCCUAUGUUGCAGGUUUACAGCGUUACAGCACUAAUAUUGACUUGGAGAACCUGCUCAGCUACAGUACGUGGUUGUUAGGAUUGACAGACAAAACAGCAUACUCAAACAAGCAGCUUGAAAGGUGAGUUAGGACGUUUUUUUACAUCAUCUUUUGGGCUGGUCCAUCUUGCUCAACAGACAAAGGCUGCCACCUUGUGCAUUUGGAUUAUCGCUACAAAACCGCAAUGCACAAUGAAUACCAUCACAGAAAUAA